rnacentral:tmRNA from 1 species
GGGGAUGUUCUGGUUUUGACAGCAAUGAUCACAGAAAGUAAGCACGCCGGGCUUUCGGAGGCUGGCCCGUUAAUCUCAACCGACGAAAAUUCAGCUGGCAACAGCAACUAUGCACUCGCUGCCUAAUCUGCCAAGCGGAUUAGCUUAAUGGACCCGCCAAGGUUGCGGCUUCCACGAGUAUCCCUCCCGCUUUAGGCCUCCUAUGCCGGGGACAAGGGGUAUAAUCCAAGGAGGAUGCACGCACGGACUCCUUUAAAGUGCGCCAAGAUUCAAAGGAUAAGUUCCGGCUUGCCCGUCUUCCGGCUGGCCGCUUCCGACAAUCAAAGGAAGAAUAAGCGUGUAGAAAGCUCUCCGGGGCGUUGUUUGGACGGCGGUUCGACUCCGCCCAUCUCCACU